AUGGUCACGGCGGCGGCGCAGCUGCUGGAGGAGGCUCGGGCGCCGGAGUUCGCGGCGUGGAUGCUCGGUGUGCGGCGGCGGAUCCACCAGCACCCGGAGCUGGCCUUCCAGGAGCACCGCACCUCCGCGCUCGUUCGCGCCGAGCUCGAUGCCAUCGGCGUCCCCUGCGCCUGGCCCGUCGCCCGCACCGGCGUCGUCGCCACCAUCGCCGGUGGUGCUGGCCCGGGCCCCGUGUUCGCACUCCGGGCCGACAUGGACGCGCUGCCCAUCCAGGAGAUGGUGGAGUGGGAGCUCAAGAGCAAGGAGGACGGCAAGAUGCACGCCUGCGGCCACGACGCCCACACCGCCAUGCUCCUCGGCGCCGCCAGGCUGCUCCGGUCCCGCAAGGAUCAUCUCAAGGGCACGGUGAAGCUCGUGUUCCAGCCGGCGGAGGAGGGCCACGCCGGCGGGUACCACGUGCUGCAGGAAGGCGUACUGGACGACGUCGAUGCCAUCUUCGCUGUGCACAUCGACACGCACCUGCCGGUAGGCACCGUCGGCUCUAGGCCUGGGCCGUUCCUCGCCGGAUCUGCUCGCUUCAAGGCUAUCAUCACCGGGAAGGGUGGUCACGGAGCUGUGCCCCAUGCCGCCAUUGAUCCCGUCGUUGCCGCCUCCUCGGCCGUCCUUAGCCUCCAACAACUCGUUGCUCGCGAGACCGACCCCCUCCAGAGCGCGGUGGUGUCGGUGACCUUUAUCAAAGGAGGUGAGGCUUUCAACGUCAUCCCGGAAUCUGUGACCUUGGGUGGCACCUUCAGGAGCAUGACAACAGAAGGACUAUCCUAUCUCAUGAGGAGGAUCAAAGAGGUGAUCGAGGGGCAAGCGGUGGUGGGUCGGUGCACGGCGACGGUGGACUUCAUGGAGGAGGAGCUUCGGCCGUAUCCCGCAACCGUGAAUGACGUCGGCGUGUACGCACACGCAAAGGCAGUGGCGGAGGAGAUGCUCGGAGGUACGAACAUGCGGUUGUGUCCUCAGGUGAUGGCGGCGGAGGACUUUGGGUUCUAUGCGCAGAAAUUCCCAGCCGCCUUCUUUAGCGUCGGUGUCCGCACCAGCGAGGAGAUCACCCACGUGCACACGCCACACUUGGUGGUCGGUGAAGAUGCGCUCCCUGUCGGGGCCGCGCUGCAUGCUGCUGUGGCCAUUGAGUUCUUGAACAAGCAUGUUGCCUCUCCUCUUUCUUGA
rnacentral:rRNA from 1 species